rnacentral:tRNA from 1 species
GCUGAUGUAGUUCAACUGGUAGAACAACUGAUUUGUAAUCAGUAGGUUGCAGGUUUGAUUCCUGUCAUCAGCUCCA